rnacentral:misc_RNA from 1 species
UGGUUCUGGCAUCGAUGAAGAACGCAGCGAAAUGCGAUAAGUAAUGUGAAUUGCAGAAUUCAGUGAAUCAUCGAAUCUUUGAACGCACAUUGCGCCCGCUAGUAUUCUGGCGGGCAUGCCUGUUCGAGCGUCAUUUCAACCCCUCGUGACCCCUUCCUUGCGGAGGGUGACCGGUGUUGGGGACCCGCCGAGCCGCCUCACGGCGGCGGGCGGACCCCUAAAGACAGUGGCGGAGCCCCCGUGGAAUCCGAGCGCAGUAAACUUACCUCUCGCUCUGGCGGCCCGGGCCUGGCUUCCUGCCGUAAAACCCCCCAAAUUUUACCAAGGUUGACCUCGGAUCAGGUAGGAAUACCCGCUGA